rnacentral:rRNA from 1 species
GACAGAGGGGGCAAGCGUUGCUCGGAAUUACUGGGCGUUAAAGGGCGCGUAGGCGGGAUGGCAAGUCGGUCGUGAAAUCCCUCGGCUCAACCGAGGAACGUCGAUCGAUACUGCUGUUCUUGAGGAUUGCAGAGGAGACUGGAAUUCCCGGUGUAGCGGUGAAAUGCGUAGAUAUCGAGAGGAACACCUGCGGCGAAGGCGGGUUGCUGGGCCGACACUGACGCUGGAAGUGCGGAAAGCUAGGGGGAGCGAACGGG